rnacentral:misc_RNA from 1 species
GAUGAAGAACGCAGCGAAAUGCGAAAAGUAAUGUGAAUUGCAGAAUUCAGUGAACCAUCGAAUCUUUGAACGCACAUUGCGCCCGCUGGAACUCCGGCGGGCACGCCUGUCCGAGCGUCAUUUCAACCCUCAGGCCCCCCUUCGCGGGCGGGCCUUGUGUUGGGGCCCGGCCGCUACCCUGCGGCCGUCCCCUAAAUCCAGUGGCGGCCUCGCCGUGAUCCCUUGCGUAGUAAUGCACCUCGCACCGGAGAGCGCCGUGGCCACGCCGUAAAACCCCCAAUUUUCAAUGGUUGACCUCGGAUCAGGUGGGAAUACCCGCUGAACUUAAGCAUAUCAAUAAGCGGAGGA